GGCUGGCGUCCGAGUCCAUGGCCCCGGGGAAUAGUCGCAGCUUUUGCAAGGUCCUUUCUCCCAGGGUCCUCAGAGCUUCCCGGAGAGAAAUGGGGAGGGGGCGAUAUGAAUAUAUGGAAGAGAGAAACAAGACACUAAGUGAGACAGAAAAGCUGCUCCUGCCUGCUCCUUAACGCAGAGUCCAGGCACGGGUGGCGGGUAGCUCUGCGUCCACCUCACUGCUAUCUCUGGCCUUGCUUCUAGCCGCACCGGUAUUCAUGACUCAUCUCCUCUUUCCUUCCCCACUGCCUCCCCUCUGCUCUCAUCCACAGGUUGCUUUAUUUUAGAGAGCAUGGGUGUCCUCAGUGAGGGGUGUGCUAGAGGUUUUGUUCCUUCUAUUAGGAAUGGGAAAGCGGGGUCUCCAGGACUGGAUUAAACAAGGAACAAGUGAGAGCGUUUCUUUGGGUAUUGUGAGGAUCUAAAUUGAGAACCAUUUAUUUGGUUCCUCAAACGCAUCCACCUUAUCUCCAUCGACACCGCGCAGCAACCACGCGCGCACUUAUACAGCCAGAGACUGCGAGGGCCCAGGGUCCAUGCGUGCGUCUCGGGACCACCGGGAGCUCUCCAGACUGACCCGGACUGAUCCACAGAAGGAGCUGUGGUCGCCUCGACUUAUGGCUCUGGGCGGAGAGGAUGCUGCGGUGAGUGUGGGAUGUGAUUACUUGCUUGCUCCUACAUGCCUCCCACCACUAUGUGCCGUUGUCUCCAGAAUCCAAGCACAUGAGGCUGUCCCAUCCUGGACUUGAAGCUUCCAAACUGGAGCACCCUCAGGGACUCAGACCCUGCUGCACUUUGCCGGGCCUCCCAGGUCUUCCUUUGAAAUCUUGGUGGAAGCCUCCAUGACCCGCUAACUCCAGCAUCCUGCGUUCUUGUAGAACCAGCACCACAUGGUUGACACAAGCAGUAGCCCAGCCUCCAGGGACACUUGCUCAGCAAAGGUUGCAAACUGCCACAGGACGUGGACUGGCUGCCAUUCGCACAUGAGCACAGUCAGAGUCAACACUACAACUGGGUCUCAAUUUAUAUGUGCAGCAGAAAUGAGAGGACAAAAGUGACCCAAGCUUAAACCCAAGCUCACUGGCACACGGAGUUUGACCCCCCUACAACCUGCUUCAAGGCACUGGGAGUUACAAACACCAGGGGACACUCCCAGCUGAUGCCGAGGGGCUCAAGAGAGAAGGAUGCCAGUUCCAACGAAGUGAAUUUGCUUCCUGAAUAACAGGAAUCCCUACAUGUCCUUUAGACCUUUACUGUGUGCCCUAGGGCAGGUCCCAUCAACUUGCCACAUUCCACUCAAUCUUCAUUCCAAGGACUUUAAUAGAACAUCUACACUGUAACAGGAAUCCCAAGAUACACUAAGAAGGCAUUUAAGAAGCAACAAUAUUUGAACUGGUCUUGAAGAAUUCAGGGUUUUUGUUUGUUUGUUUUUGUUUUCAGUUAAUCAUGCUCUUUGUAAAACCCAUUGACACACAACUUACCCAUUUUUCUGUUUGCACAGUAUUUCUAGAAAAUAGGACCAGGUCAAAGGCAAAAUUCAUAGAAAGAACGAGAGAGACUCUUGCCCUCCGUUAUUUAACUUUCACUCUUUUCUCUCUCUUUAUUCAAGAUAGCUGGAGACAUGGAGGAAAGACAGAAAAACAACUGUGAAAUAAUUGGAUGUCUUUGCAGCAGUUCACCCAGAGUAAACUUUUUGCUGCUCAACAUCAUUAAUUUAAGCAUUGAUAACAUAAGUGAGCCUCCCUUAGCCAUUAUAAGUGAGCUUCCCUUAACCUUCAUCUUUUAGCAAAAUUUAGAGCUUUGUGUGUGAAUGUGUGCCUAAAAUGAAAACUCAGUUAUCUGACCCUGGUGUGCUGAAGUUAUUCUGGUCGUUUCAGAACCAAUUUCGUUGUCCUCAGGAGUGAAACCUCACUGUGCGUCUCAGACACUCAGUUUGCAAAGGCUUUGAGCACGGCUGGGAAAGUAUUGAUUCAGCUUGUUUUGUGUUGUUGUUGUUUUGUUUUUCUUCCUGUUAUGUCCUAAAGCACUCUUAAGUACUCAGGGGGUUAUAUAGCUACUUGUCAUAAUACUCCUGAAGGCAUAUUAUUUAAUCUCAAACAAAUGAGAUUGAAGAAAUGAAAAUCCAGGAGGGUCCUAUAAAUAACUCAGUGCUGAUGGGACUAUGGGGAAAGCAGGUAUAUCAUUCUUUGAAAACUGGCACAAUGCCUUUUGAGGGCAUUUGGCAAUCAAUGUAGGUCAAAGGUCAUUAAAAUGUCUGUACUCUUUGACCCCGCAAUCUCAUUCUUUGGAAUUUAUUUCAAGGAAGUAAUUUAAAAGAAGAAAUGGUGUAUGCACUGAUAUAUUUAUAGCAGUGUUAUUUAUGAUAGUGGAAAGCUGAAAGUAACCUAAAUGCUUUGCAACAAACAAUGGAUAAAUGAAUUAUGGAACAUCGACGUAAUAUAAUGUUACCUGUUUACUAAAGAUGAUAAGUGAUUAGGACCUGGAAAGAAUACAACAUCGUAUCUACAGAAUUGUCCAAACGAUGUUAAAACAUAUGUCAAUAAAAAUCCGAAGAGCUGAUUGCUCAUGAUGACAUGAAAACACGUGUUAUAUAGUGUUUAUUCCGUAGGAAU